GAUGAACGCGGCGGCGUGCCUAACACAUGCAAGUCGAGCGAGAAAUAAAGGAAUGAAGCUUCGGUAGAUUUUCUUUAUGGAAAGCGGCGGACGGGUGAGUAACGCGUAGGCAACCUGCCCUGUACAGGGGGAUAGCCACCCGAAAAGGUGAUUAAUACCCCAUAACGCAAGAGAUACACAUGUAUCACUUGUCAAAGAUUUAUCGGUAUAGGAUGGGCCUGCGUCUGAUUAGCUAGUUGGUAGGGUAACGGCUUACCAAGGCAACGAUCAGUAGCCGACCUGAGAGGGUGAUCGGCCACAUUGGAACUGAGACACGGUCCAAACUCCUACGGGAGGCAGCAGUGGGGAAUAUUGCACAAUGGGCGCAAGCCUGAUGCAGCAACGCCGCGUGAAGGAUGAAGGCCUUCGGGUUGUAAACUUCUGUCCUAGGGGAAGAAACAAAUGAC
rnacentral:rRNA from 1 species